UCCCCGGAAUACCGGGAAUUCCUGGGGGGCCCUGAGGGCCUGGGGGUCCGGGUUGGCCUGGAGGACCAGGGGCUCCCUGUCGCCUCUUUCCUGGGAAAGGAUGUCGGAUGAAACCUAGCAUUUAUUUGAAAAUAUUGCAAGUCUUAUGAAGCAGAACAGAGGAACCAGACUGAAGCAUGAGCCCUGAACAAAAUGUGCUCUUCUGGAUGGCCAGGGAAGGCGGACAAAGACACACACACAUCAUGAUUAAAUUAAAAACAAUUACCUUUCUUGACUUUAUCUUUCCGUUUACCGGAGGGGGAUUCUGAAACAAACCAAACCAAAUAAUAAGCAAGACUUUCUCUCCAAAAUAUAAUUUAACGCAUCUCCAAAUCCCAGGCUUCCUGUGGCCCUUCUCACACACACACACACACACGACACAACCUUUCUCUAUCUCUGACUCUCAGAAGGGUCUAAUUGUCUGUAAAUGCCUCACAUUCCCCAGCCUUUUGUAAUGCAGACGAGCGUGGAACGUCACAUAGCAUUCAUUUAGUACCAAAUAACGUCUAAUGAAGCCUGUCUUUUAAUGAUGUGAUCAGAGGCUUCGGCGCGGCCAGGUAUUUGGGGAUGCCGCGGCCCUCUUGCCGAGCCUGUGAGAGACCAGAUUCCCGUAUACUGUAUCAACAUGUGCCUGGAGCGUUACCCGGCAAUGGAAUACGAGAGGUUAAUUAGAGAGAUACAUUACCCUGCCAAAAUCCUUUCUUUUGAAUUAGGCCCAGAUGGAGGACGUAGAUGAAAGUGUGUGUGUGUGUGUGUGUGUGUCUGUCUGUUCUGUUCUGUGUGUUGUUGGGGUAUCACUGAAAUGUCUGUCGAACUUGUGAACUACACACGUAUACAUACACACGCACUCACACACGCAUACACACACACACACACAUACAUGCACUCACCCAGACACACACCACACAAAAAGGCUGUGCACUGCAUAAAACAAUCCUGUUUAAGUGCCGUCUUUCAGGUUAUGCGUAUACCAUGUCAUUACAAACUACAAAGGAGGAUGCUUAACCUUAAAACACUCUCUGUUUGAGUCUUCCACCCCUGAAGACAUAUGGCCAAUGUUUUGCUUUUUUUUUUCUCUUUCUCUCUUCUCUAAAACCUCGUCUUCUGCAGGCUAAAUAACUGGAUGCAUCUACAUGAUUUUUUCCUAAUGAGCGACCUAUCUGAAAUCUGGUCCAUGUUAUGAGGUCCUUCAGUCUGUGUCCUGCCCCCCUUUCCUUUCACUUCAUCUCUGAGAGAUGGAAUCAAUUGGUGCAGAGGGAAUCAACAAGUGAUCUCGGGGCCAGCAGACUUUCCAAACAAGGGAUCAACCUGCCCUCACAGACAGACAGAGAGAUGUUUGCAGGUCCCAUUACAUUUGAAAAGAGACCACACAUAAAUCCUGCACAUCAAUUCCACCCUUGGACACACUUCUGAUUGUUUUACACACUGGGAGCAAGACAUAAAAACAGAAGUUCAUAACUCUUAUAUUCCGAGGUUAAGAAAACAAGUUGGGGCCUGGAGUUUGGUUUUCGUGAGCACGGCAUAUUGACAGGCUGUAAAUUUCAAACGAUGCUGGCUCUCUUUCUUAUUUGUUCUGGGUUUGACUGGACCGUAUUUCACAAUAGCCUCAGCAUGGGAGGCACUAGGCUCAAUUCCCUCCCAAGUGGAUCUCGGGGAAGGACAAGCAGUCCAGGAAGAACAUCAUCAUCAUCAACAUGGACCGUGAUAGCCCUUGGCAAGGGGUCUUUUUGCAGAAUAAGAUUUUGGGGGUGGGGGGUAGGGGGUGCACUUCAAAGGUCUGGGAUGACGUUCUUUUAAAUGGAAUUAGCUUUGCUGUGUGCAAACUGAAUCAUGCUUCACGACCCUAUCUGCUGUGCAGCUGGGAUGACUGGAAUCUAUCUGUAACUAUUGCAACUUUGAGAGGGAGAGAAAAAAACAGCUGCAAUAAAAUAAAUGUAACCAACUGGCUAAAUAAAUAAAUAAUACAAGCAGGUGCACAGGGGCUGCUACAGACAUUCCCUUGCCAUUUGAUCAUUUGGGAUUUUCUGGACAGCUU